CACGUAGGGUGCGAGCGUUGUCCGGAAUUACUGGGCGUAAAGCGUGCGCAGGCGGUUGUGCAAGACAGAUGUGAAAUCCCCGGGCUCAACCUGGGAAUUGCAUUUGUGACUGCACGGCUAGAGUGUGUCAGAGGGGGGUAGAAUUCCACGUGUAGCAGUGAAAUGCGUAGAGAUGUGGAGGAAUACCGAUGGCGAAGGCAGCCCCCUGGGAUAACACUGACGCUCAUGCACGAAAGCGUGGGGAGCAAACAGG
rnacentral:rRNA from 1 species